rnacentral:rRNA from 1 species
CCCUUAGAUGUCCUGGGCCGCACGCGCGUUACACUGAUGCAUUCAACGAGCUUAUAACCUUGGCCGAGAGGCCUGGGCAAUCUUGUUAACGUGCAUCGUGAUAGGGAUAGAUUAUUGAAAUUAUUAAUCUUGAACGAGGAAUUCCUAGUAAACGCAGAUCAUCAAUCUGCAUUGAUUACGUCCCUGCCCUUUGUACACACCGCCCGUCGCUCCUACCGAUUGAAUGGUCCGGUGAAGCGUUCGGACCGCUUCCUUUGGACGGGCAACCGUCUGUUGGUCGUGGGAAGUUCGUUAAACCUUAUCAUUUAGAGGAAGGAGAAGUCGUAACA